rnacentral:tRNA from 1 species
AGUAGUUCAAUUGGUAGAGCGCCGGUCUCCAAAACCGGAAGUUGAGGGUUCAAGUCCUUCCUGG